GCUGUCUGACUGAGAGAAACACCACCAGUAUCAUUCACUGCAUGCUUACCCUGUGAGUUUGCUUUGUUUCAAUCGUUAUACAACUCAUCUUUGAUUUAUUAUCCUGAAUUAUAUAUAAUUUUACAGUUAAGAAAGGAUGCUCCUUAGUUUGCAUAUAUUUGAAUGAUUUUAGUUAUUUUGCUCUGAUAUUAUUAAUGGAAAUUGUGAUAUUGAUCAUGCUUGUAUUUUAUUGAAUUCACUUUUGUUACCCCUGUCUCACCCUCUCCAGAAAAAACAGCUGAAUGCAUACGGAAUAAAAACUCUGGAUUGGAACUCCCUCUCAUGUGCUUAGUUGUCCUUGCAGACAAACCAUUAAGCUGAAUGCUUAAACCAGCAUAACCCUUAACAGUCUAAUAUCCUUCAGCUACACUACUACUAAUCAGAAUCACAAUUAGAAUGACAAUAAUGGUGACUCUGAUUACUUCCUACUUGAAGUUCACAUUCUGGUGAAAUUAAGUCCUUAUUUUCCACACGGUCAUUUUAAAAUUCAGCUGAUGAAUCUAACUCAGCAGAUAAUGACACGACAAAAAUGACUCAUGGGCACUAUUUUAUAUUUAAUUCACUGGAAGGGCAUUAAAAAGACACCUUUUAAGAUUUUAAUUGCUUAAAAGACAUUCAGAGGGAACAUCUUAUGAGUUUUAUUCACUGGAGGGGAACAUUUAAUUUCCUGAAAGGGCAUCUAUAGGGCACUAAUCUUAGGUUUUAUCUAUUGCAGUGUCAUCCAGAAGGCACUUGGUUGUAUUUUAUUCACUGCAAAGAAAAGGC